UCAUCAGGCGCAAUAAUCCUUAGCUGUUCCUCCUUUUGGAGGAUAGAUAGAACAUGAUAAUUGGAGUUUGCAUGACAUGCAUGAUUAACAUCUCUGAGUAAUCAGGACUUGCAACACCUUGAUUGCUCCUAUCUGAU
rnacentral:snoRNA from 1 species